rnacentral:rRNA from 1 species
UGCAAGUCGAGGGGCAUCACGGAAAAGCUUGCUUUUCUGGUGGCGACCGGCGCACGGGUGCGGAACGCGUAUGGAACCUGCCCCUGUCAGGGGAAUAGCCCAGGGAAACUUGGAUUAAUGCCCCAUGGUAUCGAUAUAUCGCAUGAUAUUUUGAUUAAAGAUUUAUCGGACAGGGAUGGCCAUGCGUACCAUUAGUUAGUUGGUAAGGUAACGGCUUACCAAGGCAUCGAUGGUUAGGGGCCCUGAGAGGGGGAUCCCCCACACUGGUACUGAGACACGGACCAGACUCCUACGGGAGGCAGCAGUGAGGAAUAUUGGACAAUGGGCGGGAGCCUGAUCCAGCCAUGCCGCGUGCAGGAUGACGGCCCUAUGGGUUGUAAACUGCUUUUACACGGGAAGAAACCUCCCCUUGCGAGGGGAGCUGACGGUACCGUGAGAAUAAGGACCGGCUAACUCCGUGCCAGCAGCCGCGGUAAUACGGAGGGUCCGAGCGUUAUCCGGAAUCAUUGGGUUUAAAGGGUCCGUAGGCGGGCCUGUAAGUCAGGGGUGAAAGUCUGUGGCUCAACCAUAGAAUUGCCUUUGAUACUGCAGGUCUUGAGUCAUGGUGGGGUUGCCGGAACAUGUGGUGUAGCGGUGAAAUGCAUAGAUAUCACAUAGAACACCGAUCGCGAAGGCAGGUGACCAACCAUGUACUGACGCUGAUGGACGAAAGCGUGGGUAGCGAACGGGAUUAGAUACC